UUUCUAAAAUGUGGAGAGGUUAGUGCAUGAGUGCUAGGCAUUUCUCAUCAGAAAAGAACAGGGCUUGUCCCUCCCAUGAGCCCAUGUGCCUUUACUGCUGCCUCACAGAGAUUGAGAUGUCACCCAUGUAGCAAUACAGACCAAAGGUCAGUUUGGGUUAUACCGUCCAGUGUACUGUCUUGUCCCCAUCAGCUUCCUUAUCCCCUGUUUUAGAUUUCCCAUUUUAUGCUCCAUUAGGAGGAGGGCCCAGUGACCAUUCCCUUAUAUUGUAUGGAUUUCAGGGUUAGCUUCAGAGCAUGUAGAAGACUAAUCCAGUGUCACACGACUUUCAGAAGGACAAGUCAAAUUAUCAUUAUAGAGACCCAUUCUAACAUCUGAACUGGUGCUGGGGGAGUGCCUCGAACAGUCCAAGGAAACCACAGUAUUGUUUCCCUGUGCUUUCCUCUCAUCCAUGCCACCCAAUUGUCUGUCCCCAAAGCUUGUGCUUUCUCUUGGGUAUGCCAGUAUCUCUGAGCCUACUGUUCUUGGAACACAUUUUGGGUUAUUCCUCACCAUGCUGCCAUCUUCAGCAGGUUUAAACACUGAAGCACAUAUUCAGGUAGUGAGUAGUAUGUUUGUAUUGUCUUAGAGGUUAAGUGUCUUCUCAUGUAUUUUUCUAAAUGUUCUAUUAGAAUGUAGUAGUUAUAUAUGUUGUUCCAUUUCAUUAUUAUAUUUUAUAUGCAUAUAUAAUAUAUUUUGAUCACGUGUGUUCCUAAAGGCUCACAUGAGUCACACCGAUGCCCUUCCUCCCUACCCCUAGAUUCCCUUUUAUUGUCUCUUGGUUGGUAUCAGUGAGACCCAGUGAGUUUAGUUAGGCUUACUUAUAUGUGCAUUGGGCNUCAUUGGCCUUUUCCCCUAGCACCUGGCAACUGCCAUCAUAUCCUCUGAGAGGGGCAGAAGCUGGUGAGCCCCUCCUUCCAUGGCAGAAUGUUAAAGGGCUUGAUCUUUUGCAGGUGUUUUUAAAGGAUUUUUCAAAACAUAUUAAUCACACUUGACAAAGUAGUUCACUUUUUGUAACUAAAUAAAAUAAGAACACGGGUGUUUAAAUGGGAAACAAAUGUCCUAAGUAAACCUAGUUUCCGGAGCUACAAUGUUUGCCUUUAUAUUGUUAUUACACUGUCGUUUGCACAAGCAGAAGAGAUGUAAUUAAGAGUGAGGAACAAAGAUUAGGCAAAGAAAAGCGCUGGAGAAAGCCAAAGGCUCUGGGACAGGCUGGAAUAUGAAGUAUGCACACAGAAUCUGGUGGUGCACUGCGUGCACAGUAAGUAAAGGGUGAACAGAAUGAAGGAGACAGCACUGCAUGCGCCGUGGUGGCACAUGCAGGUGAAUGCACCAUGGUGGCAUGUGGCAAUGAACGCACCAUGGCAGUGGGUGCAGGUGAAUGCAACGUGGUGGCUUGUGCCAAUGAACAAACCAUGGCAGUGUGUGCAGGUGAAUGCAAUGUGGUGGCAUGUGCAGAUUAACACACUGUGCUGGUGCGUCCAGGUGAAUGCACAGUGGUGGUGUGUGUAGGUGAAUGCACUGUGGUGCCUUGUGCAGAUGAUCACACCUUGGUGGUGUGUGCAGGUGAAAGCAGCAGGGUCCUGGGAAGAGAGAAAGGAGCCUUUGAUGUAGCUAUUAAAGAACCUCGUGGCAGAGGGGGUAUCACACUUGAUGCUGGUGAGAGCACUUCAAGAGGAAUGGGGCAUGGUGGUGCCUACACCCUAUCUGUUGAUAUGCCAAGAUGUGCCAUUAGUCACUAAUCCUCAGCUAGCUACCUUUCAUUCACCUUGCUGAGUCAUUCAUGAGGGGGUAUAUGUACUACUAAAAGAAGNCAGAGACUGAAUGGAUAGCCAUUUAUUGUAUAUUGACAUUUGUCUUUGUGUGUGUCUCUGUGUAUGUGGAACAUGUGUGUGGGUAUGCCUGUGGAGGAAACACUGUGUCAGAUACUCUGGAACUGGAGUGUCAGAUAAUAGUAAGCANCUACAUAUGCACUAUNAGGGUCCCUCCCUUCACACAGUCAGUCCUUAGCUGGGUCCUNACUGGCCACNAACCUCAGCUCCCAGAACUCUCUCUCCACUACACUGGACCCUGCAGCUGCGGAAACCCCCAUUCCAUAGUCAGCUGCAUCCGGGGGUUCCCCUGGCUUGGGGCUGUGGGGCAGACAGUUCUCAGGUAUAGCUAUGUCCUGAACUUGAUCACAGUGGAAGGGGUCCACCAUGAAAGCCCUGUCAUUUGUAGCCAGACGAGUGCAUGGGCCCUUCACAGAGCAUAGGCCAGCUGAAGAUCCCUAUGUGGAAAGUGAGUGUCAGGAUGAAAGUAUGUGCAAGCUCUGUGAGAGAAUACUGACAGGAGCAUCACCAGGGCUUCAGAAACUAAUUAAGACUCGACUACACUUCAGUGGGUAGGGAUACAGGAUAGCAAGCUAGUGGAACUGCUCUUUGGGUCAGUAAUUUAGAACAGUUGAGGCAAUCCUCUUUAUGAGUAGUCUAAGUACUAAAAUGCUCUAAUUGAAGAAACGCAGGUCUUGUACUGUACGUCUGACCAAGACCCUGGAGUUGCACAGGACCAAUGGGAAACCUGUUACUAUGAUUUUGCUAAAUGAAUGUAUUACAAACUAUCUUCUAAAUUCAUCCAUCUCUACCCAUAGGUAAAGGAGCUCUCAGACAGCAUCCGAGAAGUUGUUUUGUACAGUGAUUGGUGGCUAAUGCAGAAAGCCCAUCUUGAUAGACUGCAAAAAGGGCUCAUGGAGACUGAACCGCCAUCCAGGGAGUGUGCGUGGAAUGGAGUUAAGCCCUCUACACAUAUAACAGUUGAGCUUGUCUUCAUGUGGGACUCCUAACUGCAGGAGCAGGGGCUGUCUGUGUUCUGUUGCCUGCCUUUGGGACUCUUUCCUCCUUGGUUACCUUUAGCCUUAACAGAGGAUGUGCCUAGUCUUCCUACAACUUGAUAUGCUAAGACUGCUUGAUAUCCAUGGGAGGGCUGCCCUUUCCUGAAGAGGAACAGAGGAGGAGUGGAUGGGGAUAGAAGGGAGGUGGGUGGAGGAAUUGGAAGAGAGAAGGGAAGGAACUGCAAUUGGGGAUUAGGGUAAGUAAAUAAGUUAAUAAAUAGAUUUAAAAGUAAUAGACACAUUAAACUUUUAAAUAAAAGACAUUUUGGGCACCUGCUGAAACUUAAA